rnacentral:rRNA from 1 species
GAUGAACGCUGGCGGCGUGCUUAACACAUGCAAGUCGAACGAAGCAUUUGCGACAGAUUUUUUCGGAAUGAAGUUGCUUAUGACUGAGUGGCGGACGGGUGAGUAACGCGUGGGUAACCUGCCUUGUACUGGGGGAUAGCAGCUGGAAACGGCUGGUAAUACCGCAUAAGCGCACAAUGUUGCAUGACAUGGUGUGAAAAACUCCGGUGGUAUAAGAUGGACCCGCGUCUGAUUAGCUAGUUGGUGAGAUAACAGCCCACCAAGGCGACGAUCAGUAGCCGACCUGAGAGGGUGACCGGCCACAUUGGGACUGAGACACGGCCCAGACUCCUACGGGAGGCAGCAGUGGGGAAUAUUACACAAUGGAGGAAACUCUGAUGCAGCGACGCCGCGUGAGUGAAGAAGUAAUUCGUUAUGUAAAGCUCUAUCAGCAGGGAAGAUAGUGACGGUACCUGACUAAGAAGCGCCGGCUAAAUACGUG